rnacentral:rRNA from 1 species
CAUUUCCUUAUGUAUUUUAUAAUUAUAAGGUAAAAUCUGCCCACUGAUAAAUAUUUUUAAAAGGCCGCGGUAAUUUGACCGUGCAAAGGUAGCAUAAUAAUUAGUUUUUUAAUUAAAAGCUAGGAUGAAGGAUUUAACAAAAAAGAUUUGUUUCAAAAAUAAAAUGAACUUAAUUUUAUAAGUAAAAAAGCUUAAAUUAUUUUGCAAGACGAUAAGACCCUAUAAAGCUCUGCAAGGUUAUAACCAAAGCUAAUGAAAUAAAUUAAGUUUUGUUUUAACUUUGCUUAGUUGGGGCGACUAAAAUAAUUAAAAUUAAACUACUACAAUAGUGCAAACCUAUCUUAAUAGUUCAUAAGAAUCACAUAAUGUUUAAUAACUGAGUUACUUUAGGGAUAACAGCGCAAUAUUUUUAGAGAGUUCUUAUCGAUAAAAAAGUUUGCG